rnacentral:rRNA from 1 species
UACAGAGGUCUCAACCGUUGUUCGGAUUCAUUGGGCGUAAAGGGUGCGUAGGCGGUCGUGCAAGUCGGAUGUGAAAUCUCAGGGCUCAACCCUGAAACUGCAUUCGAUACUGCGUGGCUAGAGUGCUGGAGAGGAGACUGGAAUUUACGGUGUAGCAGUGAAAUGCGCAGAUAUCAGGAGGAACACCAAUAGCGAAGGCAGCUCACUGGCCCGAUACUGACGCUGAGGCACGAAAGCGUGGGGAGCAAACAGG